GUGAGCAGCACCUGGCUGACUGUGACUGGGACCAGGGACUGGAGAACUUGUCGCCGACCCUGACAUUCUACGGAGAGGGCAAUGGGACCGAUUUAUCUGGUGCUGUAAGAGUCAGACUGGCUGCUUAUUAAAAAGGAGCAGGAGAUCUUUCAAAGCAAUGCUAGCUGUGCCAGGCAGGAAGCUAAGACGGACCUUUGAUGAUUUCCGUGUAAGACACAUUGCAGACUGAUUUGACUAAUCUGUGUAAUGGUCAGUAGAGACUUUUAUAUUUGCACAGCAGAUCUACUCCAAGAAAGACCAAUUCGUCAACAACGUCGAAAGUAGCUUACUUUAAGAGAAAAUAUGCCGAAGAAAAUUUACAUAAAAAUUACCACGGUUAUUUUCCAGAACACCUGAUAUUACCGGAGGACAGAACUUGUAUUCUUAAACUAUCUCUUGAGAAACUCCGUUUUUUAGAAGAUCCAGAAGUCUACUUGCGGAGAUCAGUGUUAAUCAAUAACUUGCUCAGGAAGAUACACCUUGAAGUUGACAGAGAAGCCUAUGACUAUUUCAAAGAAGAAUCCACCUGCAAUGCCACAUAUAGUGAUUCGAGAAAACGGCUGAAACUUAUGGUGAAGGGUGUCUGCUCCCAGUCAUUAUACUAUGAAGAACUGCACUCGUAUCAUAUUGUGCCUUAUGCUACAGAAAAUGUGAUUUACAGGAUGGGUUACGCUAGCAGUCAUUUGGCACAAAACUCUCAGCUGCUAAUUUACAGAGUGAAAGAAUGAUGACCACUUUAAAGUAGAUCUGCAAUGACAUAAAACACUACUUGGAUGAAUGAGUUGGCAGGUAAAAGAAUUGAGGCAGGUUUAGAAAGUCACGCGCUAAAACGUAAAUGAUGUAGGCUUUUACAGAUAUGCAUUCUUGUUACUGUUGCAAGGGCAAAUACCACAUUUUUACAUGGUGUAGCUGAGUGUAAUAUGAGAGAUUUCACAUAUUCUAUAUUUUUAUCUAUAGUUUGUGUUUAGUGGAAGAAGAAAAAAAAAGUGUGCAUUUUUUUUUUUUAGCUUUGUAUUGUCAUAUGACAGCGUUUUGAAUGUUACACACCUGUACAGAUUAAGCUUUUUUCUUUGAACGUUUCUUACGAUGUUAACGAUUUACUAGAUUAAAUACAAGCCAUGGUAAUGCACAUAUGGGUAGUACAUUACAAAUCUAAUAUAUUCUGUAAAAAAAAAAAAAAAAAUUAAAAUAUUUUUGUAGUCAAAUAUUGCAACAAGUGAUGUGUUUGGAGGGUUGAUCCCCAAAAAUGGUGAGAUAUUUUUUUGAAGUACGUGUACAUGGCAGAUUUUAAUAUAGAAUUUAAUUUCAGAUAUGCACUACAUAAAAAUUAUAUAUUUGUCUUAGAAAACACAUGUACAUAUUUUAAAUCUCCUAAUAAAUAUUGAUUGUAGAUCAGUAACAAAUAUUGCCAAAGGAGAGCUAAACGCAAUGCCAAAGAUACAGAUUAGAUUAACCCCUUGAAGGGCCAGUUCUUUGUCAUCAUAAAAAAAAAAUCUGGUCUAGAGCCUUUUCCAAAAUGUAAUGUUCCAUUUAUUGCGUAUAUUGCGUACUGUUCUAUUGAACUCUUCAAUGGAAUGCCUAGAUGUUUUGAUGGACUGUUACUGGUUCUUAUUGGGUUAAAAUAAUCAAAUUAAAUUCAGGGAUCACAGGGAUGAAGGAAAAAAAAUUGAUACGUUCAUUUAAAUGAGCUAAAGAUGCUGUUCCACAAAACACUAACUGGGUUUUCUGAGCAGGUAUCACUUUUCCCUUAAACAACUUUAAAAAUCUAAAAUAAACUGGUCAGUUCAGUUAAAGAUAAUAGAAAAAAAAAUAGUUAUUACAGCACCGUUCCUCAAUUUAAAUAGCAUAGGGUUUAGUAAAGAAUAUCAAUCCAAUAAAAAGUAAAAUGAUGACACUUUCGAUAGCAUAGCUUCUAAAAUAUGCAGUAAAAUUUAGUGCCAAA